GGUGAGUGAUGAUACUCGACCAGGGGGUCGAGUAACGUGGUAGAGUGAAUGGUCGAGUGUGGUCAGGUGGUGUGGCGAAGCGGUACUCGACCGGGGGUCGAGUAAUGUCGUCGAGUGGCCUGAGCUGAGGUUACUCGACCUGGUGGUCGAGUGGACGGGAAGAAUGGCUCCAAAGUCACUCGACCUAGGGGUCGAGUAUGUGGGAAGAAUGGCUCCAAAGUCACUCGGCCUGGGGGUCGAGUAUGUCUUCUGGUUCUGGCUCGUUUCUUCCAAUUUGCUCGCAAAAAGCUCCAAAUCACCUGAAAACAACUCAGAAAUGCAUUAUGUAUGCAAAGCUAUCCUAAUCAUGCAAAGUAUGCAAGAAUGAUGAGAAAUGAUAUAAAACAGUGAUGAAUGAAAUGAAACUGGACUCAAAACGAUGAUGAAUGGACACUGAAAACAUGCAAAUUAUAGACAUAUCAAUGUCCUCUGCUCAACCUGGGGGUCGAGUGGUCUCUUGAGAUCUUGAAGCUCCUACUCGACCUCUUGGUCGAGUGGUUUGUCAUGAUCAGGUCCGCUUCUUCCAGAUAGCUCGUCAACAGCUCCAAAUCACCUAAAAUCAACGCAAAUAUGCAACAUGCAUGCAAAACUAUCCUAAACAUGCAAAGUGAUGACAAAUGAUGUGAAAUGGUAUAAAACAGUGAUGAUAUGAUGCUAAAAUGAUGACAAAUGGAUGCUCAAAACAUGCAAAAUACACACUUAUCACCUACGCAGCAGUUCCACAGAGGGUAUCAACAUCAAUAUCCAACACCAGCACUUUCGGAAUCAGACAUCAAGAUUAUGCUCCAGCAGAUCAUGCAAGGCCAAGCCGCGGGGGUAAUGGAAGCCGCUAAGAAGAUGGUUGACUGAAACAGCAAAAUUGACAAAAAGUUCGUUGAAAUGGGUAGAGGGAUGGAAUCAUUGAACAAAAGGGUACAAUAUAUAGAAGGCACAACCGCUUCUACAUCAAUCACACCAGGACACAUCCCAUGGAAACCAAUACAUAGUUCAAAGGAGUAUGCCACGCAAUCACUCUUAGAAGCGGACGAGAGUUACCACCAAGAGGAGAGCCAAACCCCAACACUGAGGACAGUGUGGUUCCAGAGGGGGAGGAUUUUUAUCAAGAUGAUGUUUUGGCUGACAAAACAAUCGAAAAACCCACUCAACCACAACACCCACCAGCUACUCCCUCUGUUGAAAAGCCAGUAGCUGCAAAAACCAAAGACGCAGUCUUCGUACCACCGCCCUACAAACCACCGCUUCCAUUCCCUGGUCGUUUCAAAAAGGUUCUUAUUGCGAAAUACCGUGCUCUUUUGGAAAAACAGAUAAAGGAUCUUGAUGUCUGAUAUGUCUAUAAUUUGCAUGUUUUACACAUCUUUUUAUCACCAUUUUGAGUCUAGUUUCAUCCAUCUUUCAUAGCAUUCACCAUCAUUUUCGUACAUUUUGCAUCUUUAGUCGAGUCUAGGCCUAGUCUUGCAUACAUUCUGCAUUCUGGAGUUGUUUCAGGUGUUUUGGAGGUAUUGGUACUCAGAAAGAGGGAAAACAGAACAGAAAGUCACACUUCCACCAAACAUACUCGAUCACCAGUAGCAAAGAGGGAAGCAGUCAGCUCAGCAGUCCAUCCAGACACUUCUCCAUCAGAGGAGACCAGGCAGUCCAUUCUGCCAGAUAUACUCGACCACAGAGGAGAGGAGGCAGUCCAUUCUACAAUUCUACUCUAUCGCAGAGGCAACCAGGCAGUCCACUUUGCCAGUCCACCAGUUAUACUCGAUCGCAGAGGAGAAGAACCAGUACAUCCUGACAGUUGACACACUUACUCGAUCACAGAGGCCAAGAAGCAGCCCAGAUCAUUCUGUCAACCAACCUACUCGACCACCACCUCGACCCUCUAAUCAAUCCGCACUCAACCAGACAACCUGAGCAUCAGAAAGAGAACAGAAGAGAAGGCCCAUUCAAAGUCCAUUCGAAACCCAUUCGAAGCCCAUCAGGAAGCCCACUUUGAGCCGACACUCUUGAUCACGCCGUCCAUGGGCCGUUAAGUGGGCUCGAAGCCCGCUUUCUUAUUUUUGUAUAAAUAAGUCUCUAAGGGUUUCGCCCUAAGACAUGCACUUUUUAGACACGAAUUUUGCAUUAUUAUUCAGCAGCCGCUUUUCAUUCCUCCAACUUUGUAUUUCGAUUUUUCUUUUGCUUUCAUUGCUUGGUCAUCUUUCGUUUCUAUGUUAUUGUCUUUAAGCAUGUUGUUUGAGUAGUGAUUAGGAUUUCUGAGGAUGGGAUAGAGUAGUUGUGGAACCCCUGGUCGAAUCUGUUGGUUAAGUGUAAAUUUAUUGAAUCCCUUCUGGAUUAGUUGUGUUUACUGCUUAUUCCUUUCUGAUCAACUGGAAUCCGAUCCCAGACGUUCCAGCGCCCAGAAGGCGUUUAAUGGAACGUUGGAUCUACUAAUUCUAGUGAUAAUCGUUUCUAUCCCAAGGGAUUGGCCGUUUAGAGCGGUUAUUGGCUUUAACAGUUGGUUCUUAUUGCCUGCUUAGUUAGAGAUCGCUAAAGGGAAUUAGGUUAGUGUCUAGCUAUGCUUGAGGGUUUCUAUAACGGGAGUGAAUUAAUCUGUUGUUGAACCUGUUGUCUAGGGAUAGUUUAAUUGAGAUUUGUUAACCAACUGAAUUGAUUAGGGAGACCACACUAUUCGAUUACCCCAUCUUUAGGAAUUUCUCAUCCAAUUGAUUUCUCUGUUUACUUUCCUGCUUCAUUUAGUUGCU
rnacentral:sRNA from 1 species